rnacentral:rRNA from 1 species
UACGAAGGGGGCUAGCGUUGUUCGGAUUUACUGGGCGUAAAGCGCGCGUAGGCGGACAUCUAAGUCAGGGGUGAAAUCCCAAGGCUCAACCUUGGAACUGCCUUUGAUACUGGGUGUCUGGAGUUCGGGAGAGGUGAGUGGAAUUCCGAGUGUAGAGGUGAAAUUCGUAGAUAUUCGGAGGAACACCAGAAGCGAAGGCGGCUCACUGGCCCGAAACUGACGCUGAGGCGCGAAAGCGUGGGGAGCAAACAGG